AAAGGGAGGAGGACCACAAGGCUCAGGGACUGAAAAGCAGGGUAAGCGGCCGCAGCCAUGAUGGAUCGACCCGAGUCGUCAACGAGAUGGAUCUCACAGCAGCUUUGGAGGCAGACGUUGUAGGCAUGCUGAACUCGACGUUCACGUGAUUGGCAAAUCUGGAAGGCACUUCCCGGUCCGAGCCAAGUUCAAGGUGGCAGAAGAAACAGUGUGGGUGACCAGAAGCUAUAAAAGAAAAACAAAGAAUCUAGGGUUCGGGUUCUUUGGCGAAGAAAUGGAAGGAGAGCCUGAGUAACAAACAAAGGAGGCCUGGCAGCCUUUCAGAGGGUCCAACGCUGAGCAGAGGACUGGCCUUGGCAGAAACCACACUGCGUGUAUAUGCCUCAGACGUUGGAUGUAACACUGUCUCAUUUUGGUAGCCUGGUAUCCUAGCAAUAAAACGUGUGAAAUGAGGCUCACUCCACCUGCUCAGGUCAGAGUGCCACGUGAAUACAACACAAAUACCAAGAAACAGAGAUUGUAGAUUGGCAGAAAGGAAUAAAAGAGAUCAGCACUUAGCACCUAAUAAAACAUCCAAGACAGCAACCUGGAGCAAAAUCAUCAAUUUCUCUUGAAAGCUGAAUUGAAUUUUCUUCAUAGCCGUUCAUAUUUUUUUUUAAAUGCUUUUGGCAUGUUUUCCAGAUUGUUACCAGAUUAUUUGAGGCAGAAGAGCCAGAGCUGAGUUCCCUGCCUCGCCACGGACGCGUCGCCGCCGCCACCGGUCAGACGCGGCAGGAGACGUUUUCUGAGAACCCUGAGCCAGGUUAUGAGCGAAGUGUUUGCUGCAGAUUCUCUCACUGCGUCUUCACAACCGUCCCCUGAGGCUGUGCUUUGUUUGUACAGAUGAGGAACUAAGGCUUCGGGAGGUGAGCUCGGCCGCCCAGGAUCAUAGCUAGCAAGUGGCAGAGCCAAGAAAACUGGACCCAGCGGUCCGCCUCCCAGACGCUCUUAACCGAUUUGUCUCUGAGACAGCCUCACAGUCCUCAGACCUCGGUACCAGGGUUUGCAGGGUGACAGGGGUGGAGAAAAAGCCUUAAGGACCCCCGUAAAGCAACUCACUAGGGAUAAACAGUGUGCCUCUGACUUCAUGAUGUAACUGAAACAGCCCUUGUUAUCUGAGUUUCCCCAAAUAAACAAUUCCAGUUUCCUC